CAUUAUACCGUGAAACUGCGAAUGGCUCAUUAAAUCAGUUAUCGUUUAUUUGAUAGUACCUUACUACUUGGAUAACCGUGGUAAUUCUAGAGCUAAUACAUGCUAAAAACCCCGACUUCGGAAGGGGUGUAUUUAUUAGAUAAAAAACCAAUGCCCUUCGGGGCUCCUUGGUGAUUCAUAAUAACUUCUCAGAUCGCAUGGCCUUGCGCCGGCGACGGUUCAUUCAAAUUUCUGCCCUAUCAACUUUCGAUGGUAAGGUAUUGGCUUACCAUGGUUUCAACGGGUAACGGGGAAUUAGGGUUCGAUUCCGGAGAGGGAGCCUGAGAAACGGCUACCACAUCCAAGGAAGGCAGCAGGCGCGCAAAUUACCCAAUCCCGACACGGGGAGGUAGUGACAAUAAAUACUGAUACAGGGCUCUUUUGGGUCUUGUAAUUGGAAUGAGUACAAUUUAAACCUCUUAACGAGGAACAAUUGGAGGGCAAGUCUGGUGCCAGCAGCCGCGGUAAUUCCAGCUCCAAUAGCGUAUAUUAAAGUUGUUGCAGUUAAAAAGCUCGUAGUUGAACCUUUGGCCUGGCUGGCAGGUCCGCCUCACCGCGUGCACUUGUCCGGCCGGGCCUUCUCUUCUGGAGAACCGCAUGCCCUUCACUGGGUGUGUUGGGGACCAGGACUUUUACUUUGAAAAAAUUAGAGUGUUCAAAGCAGGCCUUUGCUCGAAUACGUUAGCAUGGAAUAAUAGAAUAGGACGUGCGGUCCUAUUUUGUUGGUUUCUAGGACCGCCGUAAUGAUUAAUAGGGACAGUCGGGGGCAUCAGUAUUCAAUUGUCAGAGGUGAAAUUCUUGGAUUUAUUGAAGACUAACUACUGCGAAAGCAUUUGCCAAGGAUGUUUUCAUUAAUCAGUGAACGAAAGUUAGGGGAUCGAAGACGAUCAG
rnacentral:rRNA from 1 species